rnacentral:rRNA from 1 species
CACGUGUGCGCCAUUGCAUGUACCUCAUGAAUAAGGACCGGCUAAUUCCGUGCCAGCAGCCGCGGUAAUACGGAAGGUCCGGGCGUUAUCCGGAUUUAUUGGGUUUAAAGGGAGUGUAGGCGGUCUGUUAAGCGUGUUGUGAAAUUUAGGUGCUCAACAUUUAACUUGCAGCGCGAACUGUCAGACUUGAGUACACGCAGCGCAGGCGGAAUUCAUGGUGUAGCGGUGAAAUGCUUAGAUAUCAUGAGGAACUCCGAUCGCGAAGGCAGCCUGCGGGAGUGUUACUGACGCUUAAGCUCGAAGGUGCGGGUAUCGAACAGGAUUAGAUACCCUGGUAGUCCGCACUGUAAACGAUGGAUGCCCGCCGUUGGCGCCCUGCGCCUGCGGCCAAGCGAAAGCAUUAAGCAUCCCACCUGGGGAGUACGCCGGCAACGGUGAAACUCAAAGGAAUUGACGGGGGCCCGCACAAGCGGAGGAACAUGUGGUUUAAUUCGAUGAUACGCGAGGAACCUUACCCGGGCUUGAAUUGCAGUCGCUGCCCACAGAGACGUGGGCUUCCCUUCGGGGCGUCUGUGAAGGUGCUGCAUGGUUGUCGUCAGCUCGUGCCGUGAGGUGUCGGCUUAAGUGCCAUAACGAGCGCAACCCCCUUUCCCAGUUGCCAUCGGGUGAUGCCGGGCACUCUGGGGACACUGCCACCGCAAGGUGCGAGGAAGGUGGGGAUGACGUCAAAUCAGCACGGCCCUUACGUCCGGGGCUACACACGUGUUACAAUGGCCGGUACAGAGGGACGGUGCAAUGCAAGUUGCAUCCAAUCUUGAAAUCCGGUCCCAGUUCGGACUGGGGUCUGCAACCCGACCCCACGAAGCUGGAUUCGCUAGUAAUCGCGCAUCAGCCAUGGCGCGGUGAAUACGUUCCCGGGCCUUGUACACACCGCCCGUCAAGCCAUGAAAGCCGGGGGUGCCUGAAGUUCGUGACCGCGAGGAGCG